rnacentral:rRNA from 1 species
CCCAAGGAUGGGUCUGCGGGCCUAUCCAGGUAGUAGUGGGUGUAAUGUCCUUACUAGCCGACGACGGGUACGGGUUGUGAGAGCAAGAAGCCCGGAGAUGGAUUUUGAGACAUGAAUCCAGGCCUACGGGGGCGCAGCAGGGCGCGAAAACUUUUACAAUGCGGGAAACCGUGAUAAGGGGACACCGAGUGCCAGCAUCAUAUGCUGGCUGUCCAGGUGUGUAAAAUACACCUGUUAGCAAGGGCCGGGCAAGACCGGUGCCAGCCGCCGCGGUAACACCGGCGGCCCGAGUGGUGAUCGUGAUUAUUGGGUCUAAAGGGUCCGUAGCCGGUUUGGUCAGUCCUCCGGGAAAUCUGAUAGCUCAACUAUUAGGCUUUCGGGGGAUACUGCCAGACUUGGAACCGGGAGAGGUAAGAGGUACUACAGGGGUAGGAGUGAAAUCUUGUAAUCCCUGUGGGACCACCUGUGGCGAAGGCGUCUUACCAGAACGGGUUCGACGGUGAGGGACGAAAGCUGGGGGCACGAACCGGAUUAGAUACCCGGGUAGUCCCAGCCGUAAACGAUGCUCGCUAGGUGUCAGGCAUGGCGCGA